GGAUGGGUUACCAAAUGUACCAUCAUCAAGAUACUGAAACUCGGAUGUUCGUGAUGCCAAUAUUGAAGAUGGUAAUCCGUCUAAUUGGAUUGGAAAAGACUUUGAUGACCAAGAUUAUGGAGAAGAUUCAGAAGAAGAUUAUAUAGAAGAAACACCGGCAUGGAAUGUUAUACCAAGUGAUGAAUCAAACCAAGAAGAGGAGCCACAAGAACAACAACCUUCAAAAAAACAAAAA